rnacentral:lncRNA from 1 species
UAGGUCAAAAUGGCGGGCCGACCUGCAGUUGCAGCAUCAAGCAAGUGGGUGGAUGGUUUCCAGAAGCGGUAUUAUAACGCAGCGGCUUCAAUAAACUGGGGUUAAUGCGAGAUGACACAAUGCAUGAAACUGAAGAUGUAAAAGAAUCCAUAAGAAGACUGCCUGAGAACCUUUAUAAUGACAGAAUGUUUCGAAUUAAGAGAGCCCUAGACCUGUCUAUGAGGCAUCAGAUCUUGCCUAAGGAUCAGUGGACAAAAUAUGAGGAGGACAAAUUCUACCUUGAACCCUGUCUGAAAGAGGUUAUUCGGGAAAGAAAGGAGAGAGAAGAGUGGGCGAAGAAGU